GACGAACGCUGGCGGCGUGCUUAACACAUGCAAGUCGGACGAAGAGCGACGGAAGCUUGCUUCUAUCAAUCUUAGUGGCGAACGGGUGAGUAACGCGUAAUCAACCUGCCCUUCAGAGGGGGACAACAGUUGGAAACGACUGCUAAUACCGCAUACGAUCUAAUCUCGGCAUCGAGGAUGGAUGAAAGGUGGCCUCUACAUGUAAGCUAUCACUGAAGGAGGGGAUUGCGUCUGAUUAGCUAGUUGGAGGGGUAACGGCCCACCAAGGCGAUGAUCAGUAGCCGGUCUGAGAGGAUGAACGGCCACAUUGGGACUGAGACACGGCCCAGACUCCUACGGGAGGCAGCAGUGGGGAAUCUUCCGCAAUGGACGAAAGUCUGACGGAGCAACGCCGCGUGAGUGAUGACGGCCUUCGGGUUGUAAAGCUCUGUUAAUCGGGACGAAAGGCCUUCUUGCGAAUAGUGAGAAGGAUUGACGGUACCGGAUAGAAAGCC
rnacentral:rRNA from 1 species